CCUACGGGUGGCAGCAGUGAGGAAUAUUGGUCAAUGGACGAGAGCCUGAACCAGCCACGUAGCGUGAAGGAUGACUGCCCUCUGGGUUGUAACCUUCUUUUAUAUGGACAUAACAUGUUCCACGUGUGGGAUUUUGUAUGUACCCUAUGAAUAAGGAUCGGCUAACUCCGUGCCAGAGGCCGCGGUCGUACGGAGGAUCCGAGCGUUAUCCGGAUUUAGUGGGUGUAAAGGGAGCGGAGGUGGGAUGUUAAGUCAGUUGUGAAGGUUUGCGGCUCAACCGGAAAAUUGCAGUUGAAACUGGCAGUCUUGAGUACAGGAGAGGUAGGCGGAAUUCGUGGUGUAGCGGUGAAAUGCUUAGAUAUCACGAAGAACUCCGAUGGCGAAGGCAGCUCGCUGGACUGCAACUGACGCUGAGGCGCGAAAGUGUGGGGAGCAAACAGGAUUAGAUACCCCAGUAGUC
rnacentral:rRNA from 1 species